rnacentral:rRNA from 1 species
GACGAACGCUGGCGGCGUGCUUAACACAUGCAAGUCGAACGAAGUGUCGGAUGGGCGAGUAACACGUGAGGAACCUGCCUUUCACAGGGGAAUAACACUGGGAAACCAGUGCUAAUACCGCAUAGUGAAAGAUGGCCUCGCUCCUGAUUAGCUAGUAGGUGAGGUAACGGCUCACCUAGGUCAUGAUCAGUAGCCGGACGGAAGGUUGAACGGCCGCAUUGGGACUGAGACACGGCACAGACUACUACGGGAGGAAGCAGUGAGGAAUAUUGGGCAAUGGCGCAAGCCUGACCCAGCAACGCCGCGGGAAGGAAGACGGUAUUCGGAGUGUAAACUUCUUUAGACAGGGACGCGGUACCUGUAGAAUAAGCCACGGCUAACUACGUGCCAGCAGCCGCGGUAAUAC